GUCUCCGUAGCUCAGCAGGAUAGAGCGUCAGUUUCCUAAACUGUAGGUCGGAGGUUCGAAUCCUCUCGGGGACGCCA
rnacentral:tRNA from 2 species